GACGAACGCUGGCGGCGUGCUUAACACAUGCAAGUCGAGCGAGGCGGAAGGGGGCAACUCCUUCCAGUCGAGCGGCGGACGGGUGAGUAACACGUGGGUAACCUGCCCGGAAGUGGGGAAUACCUCGGGGAAACUCGAGCUAAUACCGCAUGACAUCUUCGGGACGAAAGUCCUGGUGAUCAAAGCGGGGUCGCAAGAUCUCGCGCUACCGGAUGGGCCCGCGCCCGAUUAGCUAGUUGGNGAGGUAACGGCUCACCAAGGCUUCGAUCGGUAACCGGCCUGAGAGGGCGAUCGGUCACACCGGAACUGAGACACGGUCCGGACUCCUACGGGAGGCAGCAGUGGGGAAUCUUGCGCAAUGGGCGAAAGCCUGACGCAGCAACGCCGCGUGGAGGAUGAAGGCCCUUGGGUUGUAAACUCCUGUCGGCUGGGAAGAAAUCGUUCGGGGUUAAUACCCUCGGACGUUGACUGUACCAGCAAAGGAGG
rnacentral:rRNA from 1 species